CGAGCGAAGCGGGAUGAGCUCAAAUUUGAAAUCUGGCGUCUUUCAGGCGUCCGAGUUGUAAUCUAUAGAAGCGUUUUCUGUGCUGGACCGUGUCCAAGUCCCUUGGAACAGGGUAUCAAAGAGGGUGACAAUCCCGUACUUGACACGACCACCAGUGCUCUGUGAUACGUUCUCUACGAGUCGAGUUGUUUGGGAAUGCAGCUCAAAAUGGGUGGUAAAUUCCAUCUAAAGCUAAAUAUUGGCGAGAGACCGAUAGCGAACAAGUACCGUGAGGGAAAGAUGAAAAGCACUUUGGAAAGAGAGUUAAACAGUACGUGAAAUUGUUGAAAGGGAAACGAUUGAAGUCAGUCGUGUCUAUUGGUUUCAGCCGGUCCUGCCGGUGUAUUACCUUUAGACGGGUCAACAUCAGUUUUGUGACGGCAGAAAAGAGCAGUUUGAAUGUAGCACCUCCGGGUGUGUUAUAGCUUUCUGUUGCAUAUGCUGUCCGAGACUGAGGACUGCAGCUCGCCUUUCAUUAGGCCGGGGUUCGCCCACGUUCGAGCUUAGG
rnacentral:rRNA from 1 species